UCUAGUCAUCAAUUCACCUCAAGAUCUAUCUGUCUCUAAGCUUAGGCGGUGUAGAGAGUAAAUAUGACCACAAUCACUAGCCAGUCGUUACUUUUUAUUUCUAUUUGGUGUUCAAUGUUGAUGAUUUUGUAAGAUUGGAUAAUAGAGAAGCAAAUAUCUAUUUUGACUAUGUGGAUAUGGUGGUGGUGGUGAUAAGACUAUUGAAAAAAAAAAAAUAUUGGUAGAAUUCACAUGUAAACUAAUAACAAGAUCCAAACUUAGCUCUUCAUUUUCAAAAGAUUUUGAUUAUCU
rnacentral:lncRNA from 1 species